AUGCCUCAGUAGCGGCGAGUGAGCGGCAGAGCUCAGAUUUGAAAUCGUAGCUUUGCGGCACGAGUUGUAGAUUCGCAGGUUGGAGUCUGUGUGGAAGGCGGUGUCCAAGUCCCUUGGAACAGGGCGCCCAGGAGGGUGAGAGCCCCGUGGGAUCGCGGCGGAAGCAGUGAGGCCCUUCUGACGAGUCGAGUUGUUUGGGAAUGCAGCUCCCAGCGGGUGGUAAAUUCCAUCUAAGGCUAAAUACUGGCGAGAGACCGAUAGCGAACAAGUACUGUGAAGGAAAGAUGAAAAGCACUUUGAAAAGAGAGUGAAACAGCACGUGAAAUUGUUGAAAGGGAAGGGUAUUGCGCCCGACAUGGGGAUUGC
rnacentral:rRNA from 1 species